UACGGAGGGUGCAAACGUUGCUCGGAAUCACUGGGCGUAAAGCGCACGUAGGCGGCCUUGUAAGUUGGAUGUGAAAGCCCUGGGCUCAACCCAGGAAGUGCAUCCAAAACUGCAUGGCUUGAGUACCGGAGGGGUUCAGAGAAUUCCCGGUGUAGAGGUGAAAUUCGUAGAUAUCGGGAGGAAUACCAGUGGCGAAGGCGCUGAACUGGACGGUAACUGACGCUGAGGUGCGAAAGCGUGGUUAGCAAACAGG
rnacentral:rRNA from 1 species